UAGGGAAUAUUGCAAAAUGGGCGAAAGCCCGAUGCAGCAACGCCGCGUGGGCGAUGAAGGCCUUCGGGUCGUAAAGCCCUUUUUGAGGGGAUGAGGAAGGACAGUACCCUCGGAAUAAGCCUCGGCUAACUACGUGCCAGCAGCCGCGGUAAAACGUAGGAGGCGAGCGUUAUCCGGAUUUACUGGGCGUAAAGCGCGUGCAGGCGGAUUGGAGAGUUGGAUGUGAAAGCUCCCGGCUUAACUGGGAGAGGUCGUUCAAUACUUCCAGUCUUGAGUGCAGUAGAGGGAAGUGGAAUUCCGGGUGUAGUGGUGAAAUGCGUAGAUAUCCGGAGGAACACCAGUGGCGAAAGCGGCUUCCUGGACUGUAACUGACGCUCAGACGCGAAAGCUAGGGUAGCAAACG
rnacentral:rRNA from 1 species